rnacentral:lncRNA from 1 species
UUCAUAUCAUGUGAUAUUUCACUAUUGGCUAUAACAGCCGAUUUCACCAUAUUUUUCGAAUCGGCUUUAACAGCCGAUUUCACUGUAUCAUCAUCGGCCGUCCCGGCCUUCUUGUUGCACACAACGUCAUUGGCCAGCUGGGCCGAAUUUAUCACACAGCCGAUCUUGUCGAUCGGCUCUUCUUGCCGAAGCUCCUCUAAAGCUUCGGUUCCUGAUUCCUCACGUUCCAUUUUAGCCAAUUUGGUGGCUCUUCGGUU